rnacentral:rRNA from 1 species
UGAGGAAUAUUGGUCAAUGGACGAAAGUCUGAACCAGCCAAGUAGCGUGCAGGAUGACGGCCCUCUGGGUUGUAAACUGCUUUUAGUUGGGAAUAAAAAGGAGGACGUGUCCUCUAUUGUAUGUACCUUCAGAAAAAGGACCGGCUAAUUCCGUGCCAGCAGCCGCGGUAAUACGGAAGGUCCAGGCGUUAUCCGGAUUUAUUGGGUUUAAAGGGAGCGCAGGCGGAUUAUUAAGUCAGUGGUGAAAGACGGUGGCUCAACCAUCGUUAGCCAUUGAAACUGGUAGUCUUGAGUGCAGACAGGGAUGCUGGAACUCGUGGUGUAGCGGUGAAAUGCUUAGAUAUCACGAUGAACUCCGAUCGCGAAGGCAGGUGUCCGGGCUGUAACUGACGCUGAGGCUCGAAAGUGUGGGUAUCAAACAGGAUUAGAUACCCUGGUAGUCCACACAGUAAACGAUGUAUACUCGCGGUUUGCGAUAUAGUGUAAGCCGCCAAGCGAAAGCAUUAAGUAUACCACCUGGGGAGUACGCCGGCAACGGUG